rnacentral:rRNA from 1 species
GGAGUUAGCCGGUGCUUCUUCUGUGAGUGAUGUCCUUCCUGCCGGCUAUUAACCCGCAGGCCUUCUUCCUCACUGAAAGUUCUUUACAACCCGAAGGCCUUCUUCACACACGCGGCAUGGCUGGAUCAGGGUUGCCCCCAUUGUCCAAUAUUCCCCACUGCUGCCUCCCGUAGGAGUCUGGGCCGUGUCUCAGUCCCAGUGUGGCUGAUCAUCCUCUCAGACCAGCUACGGAUCGUCGCCUUGGUGAGCCGUUACCUCACCAACCAGCUAAUCCGACAUAGGCUCAUCCGAUAGCGCGAGGCCCGAAGGUCCCCCGCUUUCCCCCGUAGGGCGUAUGCGGUAUUAGCCUGGGUUUCCCCAGGUUAUCCCCCACUACCGGGCAGAUUCCUAUGCAUUACUCACCCGUCCGCCGCUCGCCACCAGGGAGCAAGCUCCCCGUGCUGCCGCUCGACUUGCAUGUGUUAGGCCUGCCGCCAGCGUUCAAUCUGAGCCAUGAUCAAACUCUGA